rnacentral:lncRNA from 11 species
AUGGAGCAACGGAGUGAGACUGACCUCUCUCCUUCCGACCACGUCCGUCCGGACACUUCUUCCCAGCGUGGUCAUCUGAGGGAGUCCUCGGUCGGAGGGAAGCUCCGGUGUCCGGCCCUUCUCGGCCAGGGCUCCCUUCUCCUCCGGAACCCUCCCCACGUUCCGGAUCCAUCCCGUUGUCCCGGGCAGCGGCCGCCACGGAGAUCGCCGUUGUUACGAGCGGCGGCCGUUGGUGGGUCUUCCGUGAGCCUGGCCUUGGACGUGGUUUGGUUUGGAUUUGGAUUGGACAGAACUGACACGGAAACUCUCAAGAGGAAUCGUUUUUCCCGAAUAUCUGUCUUCAUUGCUUCAUCGCUUCCAUCUCCUCGUUGGACCAAGGCCGUGGUCGAGCUCGGCUACUCGAGAGAGAGAGAGGCCCGUUCCGGAGCGGUGGUGCCUCUGGCCCUGGCCGCCUCCUUCUUCCAGAGGGUGACCACAGCAUCGGCAGAACCACCAGCCGAGGAGCCCGGAAGCUCCCCAAACGCCGCCGGGAAUCCCUCCGGAUCCGGGAGCCUUUGGACCAUUUCCAUAGGUCCUCCACCCCGGCAGAGAGUCUCAGCCUGGUCAGGCCGUGAGCCCCCCGCCCAGCUCCAACGGCGAGGGUCCGGAGGGGAGGCCGGGGGUUGGGCCGGAUCUUGGGGCGGACACAAGGGGUUGGUGGCGCGCCCCUCUCCACAUCUGCUGCCGGGGCCCCUGAAGAACGUGGUGCCGCUCCACCUGCUGAGCACCACCACCAGACCCAGACGCAGGCCGCCGGCCAGGCCAGACCCCCACCAAGAUGGCCGCCCCCACCCCUCCGGUGAGCCCAGACCCCCCUCUCCUUCCAGGGUCACCUCGGGAGGCCUGCUUCCUUGGCCGCCUCGUGGAGGAGAGUGCACACUCGACUGACGGGCGCUGUGUUGUGUCUCCCGUGUGCCCUUGCAGCCACAACCUGGUGCAGACGUGCUGGCAGGACAACCCCACGGUGCGCCCCUCCCUCCCCGAGGACCUCCACCCCACUUCCCGUGAGGCCUCCUUCCUGGACAGCGAGGAGGAGAACAAGCCGCCGGAGACGGAGGAGGACAAGCUGGACUCUGGGAACACGGAGAGCCUCCUCCCGCUGGACCCGGCCUCCGACAUGCAGCGGGACGAGACCCUGGGCCUGGAAGAGACGGAACUCUGGGGAGACCCUCCCGGGCGCCCUGGCACGUGGACGGACAGAAGGACAACGGGCGCCUCUCCCUUCGGGCUGAGGGUCUGGCUUUGGCCUCCA